AGGAAAGCAGGGGAUCGCAAGACCUUGCGCUUUUGGAGCGGCCGAUGUCUGAUUAGCUAGUUGGUGAGGUAAAGGCUUACCAAGGCUUCGAUCAGUAGCUGGUCUGAGAGGACGACCAGCCACACUGGGACUGAGACACGGCCCAGACUCCUACGGGAGGCAGCAGUGGGGAAUUUUGGACAAUGGGGGAAACCCUGAUCCAGCCAUGCCGCGUGAGUGAAGAAGGCCUUCGGGUUGUAAAGCUCUUUCAGCCGGAACGAAAAGGUUACGGUUAAUACCCGUGACUAAUGACGGUACCGGAAGAAGAAGCACCGGCUAACUACGUGCCAGCAGCCGCGGUAAUACGUAGGGUGCGAGCGUUAAUCGGAAUUACUGGGCGUAAAGCGUGCGCAGGCGGUUUUGUAAGUCAGAUGUGAAAUNCCCCGGGCUCAACCUGGGAACUGCGUUUGAAACUACAAAGCU
rnacentral:rRNA from 1 species